GGUGACGAGCGGCGGACGGGUGAGUAAUGUCUGGGAAACUGCCUGAUGGAGGGGGAUAACUACUGGAAACGGUAGCUAAUACCGCAUAACGUCGCAAGACCAAAGUGGGGGACCUUCGGGCCUCAUGCCAUCAGAUGUGCCCAGAUGGGAUUAGCUAGUAGGUGGGGUAACGGCUCACCUAGGCGACGAUCCCUAGCUGGUCUGAGAGGAUGACCAGCCACACUGGAACUGAGACACGGUCCAGACUCCUACGGGAGGCAGCAGUGGGGAAUAUUGCACAAUGGGCGCAAGCCUGAUGCAGCCAUGCCGCGUGUGUGAAGAAGGCCUUCGGGUUGUAAAGCACUUUCAGCGGGGAGGAAGGCGAUAAGGUUAAUAACCUUGUCGAUUGACGUUACCCGCAGAAGAAGCACCGGCUAACUCCGUGCCAGCAGCCGCGGUAAUACGGAGGGUGCAAGCGUUAAUCGGAAUUACUGGGCGUAAAGCGCACGCAGGCGGUCUGUCAAGUCGGAUGUGAAAUCCCCGGGCUCAACCUGGGAACUGCAUUCGAAACUGGCAGGCUAGAGUCUUGUAGAGGGGGGUAGAAUUCCAGGUGUAGCGGUGAAAUGCGUAGAGAUCUGGAGGAAUACCGGUGGCGAAGGCGGCCCCCUGGACAAAGACUGACGCUCAGGUGCGAAAGCGUGGGGAGCAAACAGGAUUAGAUACCCUGGUAGUCCACGCCGUAAACGAUGUCGAUUUGGAGGUUGUGCCCUUGAGGCGUGGCUUCCGGAGCUAACGCGUUAAAUCGACCGCCUGGGGAGUACGGCCGCAAGGUUAAAACUCAAAUGAAUUGACGGGGGCCCGCACAAGCGGUGGAGCAUGUGGUUUAAUUCGAUGCAACGCGAAGAACCUUACCUGGUCUUGACAUCCACAGAACUUUCCAGAGAUGGAUUGGUGCCUUCGGGAACUGUGAGACAGGUGCUGCAUGGCUGUCGUCAGCUCGUGUUGUGAAAUGUUGGGUUAAGUCCCGCAACGAGCGCAACCCUUAUCCUUUGUUGCCAGCGGUUAGGCCGGGAACUCAAAGGAGACUGCCAGUGAUAAACUGGAGGAAGGUGGGGAUGACGUCAAGUCAUCAUGGCCCUUACGACCAGGGCUACACACGUGCUACAAUGGCAUAUACAAAGAGAAGCGACCUCGCGAGAGCAAGCGGACCUCAUAAAGUAUGUCGUAGUCCGGAUUGGAGUCUGCAACUCGACUCCAUGAAGUCGGAAUCGCUAGUAAUCGUAGAUCAGAAUGCUACGGUGAAUACGUUCCCGGGCCUUGUACACACCGCCCGUCACACCAUGGGAGUGGG
rnacentral:rRNA from 1 species